rnacentral:rRNA from 1 species
GGCGGCGUGCCUAACACAUGCAAGUCGAACGAAGCGCCUCGCCCGAUGAAGUGGAGUGCUUGCACAAAGCAGAAUCAAUUGAGGCGACUUAGUGGCGGACGGGUGAGUAACGCGUGGGUAACCUGCCGUAUGCAGGGGGAUAACAGUUAGAAAUGACUGCUAAUACCGCAUAAGCGCACAGUAUCGCAUGAUACAGUGUGAAAAGCCGAGACGGCAUACGAUGGACCCGCGUCUGAUUAGCCAGUUGGCAGGGUAACGGCCUACCAAAGCAACGAUCAGUAGCCGGCCUGAGAGGGUGAACGGCCACAUUGGGACUGAGACACGGCCCAAACUCCUACGGGAGGCAGCAGUGGGGGAUAUUGCACAAUGGGGGAAACCCUGAUGCAGCGACGCCGCGUGAGUGAAGAAGUAUUUCGGUAUGUAAAGCUCUAUCAGCAGGGAAGAAAAUGACGGUACCUGACUAAGAAGCUCCGGCUAAAUACGUGCCAGCAGCUGC